UCCAACAGAUGCUGGAAGUCAUGAUCAACACACACAAACUGCCGGAGGAACUUAGAAUCAGGUUUAAUUUGACUGCAUAUGUCAUGGAAUCUGUUGUCUUUGUGGUAGCAGGACAAUGCAAUACAUAAUAGAGACUAUAGUAAGCAUAUAUGUAAUAGUUAAAUUAAGUAAGUAGUGAAAAAAAAUGGUAUUCUAGUGUUCAUGGUUUCAAUGUCCAUUCAGAAAUCGGACAGCAGAGAGGAAGAAGCUGUUCCUGAAUCGCUGAGUGUGUGUCUUCAGGUUCCUGUACCUCCUCCCUGAUGGCAGAGGGGAAGAAGCUGUUCCUGAAUUGCUGAGUGUGUGUCUUCAGGUUCCUGUACCUCCUUCCUGAUGGUAGCAAUGAGAACAAGGCAUGACAUGGUGAUGGGGUCUUUAAUGAUGGACGCCGUCUUUUUGAGGCACUGCUGCUGGAAGUUGUCCUUGAUACUGGGGAGAUGCUACCUGACCUGCUGAGUUCCUCCAGCACUUCAUAAUGUGUUGCUGAUGUCAUGGAGUGCACUACCUCAUGAAGACAGAUACAACACAGAAUAGGCCUUUCUGGCCCUUCGAGCUAUGUCGCCAGCAAUCCCUCGAUUUAACCAGAGCCUAUUCACAGGACAACUUACACUGACUAAUGAACCUACCAACCAUAAGGUUGUUAGACCAUGGGAUGAAACUGCGGAGGAAACCCACGAGGUCAUGGGAAAAUCAUCAGAACCUUCCGAAGAGGAACGCAGACCUGGAAAGCAUAUUCCUAUGCUGCCUCCCCAGCAUCCACCAGAACAUCUUCAAGGAGCGAUGCUUCAAAAUGGGGGCAUUCAUCAUUAAGGACCUCAUCACCUAGGACAUGCCCUCUUCUCAUUGCUACCGUCAGGAAGGAGGUACAGGAGCCCGAAGUCACACACUCAACAAUUCAGGAACAGAUUCUUCCCCUCUGCCAUCCAAUUUCUGAAUGGACAUUGAACUCUUGGACGCUACCCCACUACUUAUUUUUCUCUUUUUGCACUAUUGUAUCACUAAGCAAACAAUAAAGAAAGGGAAGCUCGAUAAUGAAAAUAAACUAGCACAAAAUAUAAAAAUGGAUAGUGAAAGUUUUUGUAAUUAUAUAAAGUGGAAAAGGGUGGCUAAAGUGAAUGCAGGUCCCUUGGAGGAUGAGAAGGGGGAAUUGAUAUUGGGUAAUGAAAAGAUGGUCAGGGCUUUGAAUGACUAUUUUGUGUCGGUCUUCACAGUGCAGGAUACUAACUAACAUGACAAAGAGAGAUGUUAUGGAUGUGAUGGGAGGUGAGGACCUCGAUAUAAUAGCUAUCACUAAAGAGGUAGUGCUGAGCAAACUUGUGGGCCUGAAGAUAGAUAAGUCCCCUAGUCCUGAUGGAAUACAUCCCAGGGUGCUGAAGGAAAUGGCAGAGGUUAUAGUCAAGGCUUUGGUGAUGAUUUACCAAAAUUCUCUAGACUCUGGGUAGGUCCUAGAGGAUUGGAAGACGGUGAAUGUCACACCACUGUUCAAAAAAGGAUGUAGGCAAAGGGUAGGUAACUACAGGCCAGUUUAACAUCUGUAGUUGGGAGAAUGCCUGAAGCUAUCAUUGAAGAAAAAAAUAGCAAGGCAUCUGGAAAGAAAUGGCUCCAUCAGGCAGAUGCAGCAUGUAUAGAGGAUUAGUUAACUAAUAGAAAGUAGAGUGUUGUGAUACAUGGGUGUUACUCUGGUUGGCAAUCAGUGGUGAGCAGUGUGCUACAGGGGUCGGUGAUGGGCCCACAAAUGUUCAUGAUAUACAUUAACGAUCUGGAAGAGGGGACUGAGUGUAGUGUAUCUAAGUUUGCUGAUGAUACUAAAUUGAGGGGGAAAGCAUAUGGAGAGUCUACAGAGAGAUAUAGAUAAGUUAAGUGAGUGGGCAAGAGUCUGGCAGGUGGAGUACAAUGUUGGUAAAUUCGAGGUCAUCCACUUUGGAAGGAAAAUUGAAAGAGCAGAUUAUUAUUUAAAUAAUAAAAAUUGCAGCAUGCUGCAGUGCAGGACUUGGGAGUGCUUAAGCAUGAAUCACAAAAGGUUGGUUUGCAGGUACAGCAGGCUAUCAAGAAGACAAAUGGAAUGUUGGCCUUCAAUGCUAGAGGGAUUGAAUUUAAGAGCAGGGAGGUCAUGCUGCAAUUGUACAGGAUGCUGGUGAGGCCGCAUCUGGAGUACCAAAUGCAGUUUUGGUCUCCUUACUUGAAAAAGGAUAUACUGGAAGCGAUGCAAAGGAGGUUCACCAGGUUGAUUCCAGAGUUGAGGGGUUAGACUAUGAGGAGAGAUUGAGUUGCCUGGGACUAUACUCGCUGGCAUUCAGAAGAAUGAGAAGAAAUCUUAUAGAAACAUAUAAAAUUAUGAAAGGGAUAGAUAACAUAGAGGCAGAAUAGUUGUUUCCAUUGGUAGGUGAGACUACAACUAGGGGACAUAGCCUCAAGAUUCGGGGGAGUAGAUUUAGGAUGGAAUUGAGGAGUAACUGCUUUUCCCAGAACCUGUGGAAUUCUCUGCCCAAUAAAGCAGUGGUGGCUUCAUAUAUAUAUUUUCUCAUCCCUUAUGGCUGGUGUGAAUGUGUAUUUUUCUCUCAAUCUCGGGUCCUCUACCAGAGGCCUGGGAGUUUGAGGGUUCAGCCAGUAUCCUUGCUGUUCCUAGUACUACGCUCUUCUGGUCCGAGAUCUCAGGUGUUGUUUCCGGGAUUUGUUGGAGCCUCUCUCCCAGUCCAGGUGUCACAGCUCCAAUUGCUCCCAUCACCACUGGGAUUACUCUGACUUUAACCUCCCACAUCCUUUCUAUCUGCUCUUUCAAGCCCCGGUAUUUCUCCAGCUUCCCAUAUUCUUUCUUCCUGAUGUUACUGUCAUUCGGGAUUUCUACAUCUAUUACUAUUCCUUUCUUCUGUUCUUUUUCCAGUAUUACCAUGUCUGGUUGGUUGGCCAGUACCUACUUAUCAGUCUGUAUUUGAAGUCCCACAGGAUCUUAGCUCUUUUAUACACAUUUAUACACUUCUUCCUGUGAUUUAGUUACUAUUAUCAUGUAUGGCAUUGUACUGCUGCUGCAAAGACAACAGAUUUCACCACACCGGUGAUAUUAAACCUGAUUCAGAUUCUG